rnacentral:lncRNA from 1 species
GACUUUUUUUUUUAGCUCAAUUUUUCUCUUUACUUGGAUAAACUAUUUGUUCAAGAAUAUAGUAUGUCGGGUCACAAUCACAUUGUGAUCCUCUGGAAAGUAAAAGUAGUAUGCCCUAAACUCUUUAAGUUAUCUUAGAAAUGAGCUCUCAUAGACCUAACCUCUAACUUGUCUAUCAGUUAUCGCUUGACAUGGGCCAGACAUCCUCAUCAUGCCAUAUCUCAUACGACG